AUUUAAACAACACAUUUAUUUGGAAUUCAAAUAUUCAAAUGUAUUCAACAUGUAUAUAAACAAUAAACAUAUAGAAAACAGUAAAACAGUAAAACAACAAAAGUAUAAGGCUACACAAAAAUAUAUUCUGUUAGUUUUUUUAAGCUAGAUAAAAAAAAUGGUUGACCUGUUAGUACUAUGGGAGUGUUUAAUGACCUUGACUCUCUAUGAGGGUCUUCAUGGUGAGUCAACAUGUUGGUAAAAAUAUAUCAUUGCCAUUUUAUCCAAAGCCAUUUUCAUGAUACAAUAGCCAGAUUAGGCACCAUAAUUGGGCAAUUUCAGUAAUAAUUGCUCUUCAAAUUAAUAAUGGAUUUCGCCUUUCAACAUUUUAAGUAAGUAAAUUGUUUACUAUUUUUUUUUUUUAUUACUUUAUAUUUUUUUUCCUGUAAGUAUGUGUACCUUUAUCCUGAAAUUUAUACAGUGAAAGCAUACAUAAUAAAACAUGCAACAUAUAAACUUAGUAACAAAAACGCAAGUAAAAAUUUACUUACUUUAUAGUAAAGCCAUU
rnacentral:lncRNA from 1 species